AUUGAACGCUGGCGGCAUGCUUUACACAUGCAAGUCGAACGGUAACAGGCCUUCGGGUGCUGACGAGUGGCGAACGGGUGAGUAAUGCAUCGGAACGUGCCCAGAGGUGGGGGAUAACGCAGCGAAAGCUGUGCUAAUACCGCAUGUGAUCUGAGGAUGAAAGCGGGGGACCAAGCAGCAAUGCUUGGCCUCGCGCCUCUGGAGCGGCCGAUGUCAGAUUAGGUAGUUGGUGGGGUAAAGGCCUACCAAGCCGACGAUCUGUAGCUGGUCUGAGAGGACGACCAGCCACACUGGGACUGAGACACGGCCCAGACUCCUACGGGAGGCAGCAGUGGGGAAUUUUGGACAAUGGGCGCAAGCCUGAUCCAGCAAUGCCGCGUGCGGGAAGAAGGCCUUCGGGUUGUAAACCGCUUUUGUACGGAACGAAAAGGCUCUGGCUAAUACCUGGGGCUGAUGACGGUACCGUAAGAAUAAGCACCGGCUAACUACGUG
rnacentral:rRNA from 1 species